GUAGUCGCCCGGGUUGCCGCAAGGCCUCCCGGGUAACCUACCACCCUUUGUUUAUUACACUUUGUUGCUUUGGCAGGCCUGCCCUCGGGCUGCUGGCUCCGGCCGGCGAGCGUCUGCCAGAGGACCCAAAACCCUGAAAUUAAUGUCGUCUGAGUAAAAAGUUUAAUAUUUAAAACUUUCAACAACGGAUCUCUUGGCUCU
rnacentral:misc_RNA from 1 species